GAUACUUUCUUCUCCCCUGCUCUUCUUUUGAGGAGGAGGAGUAAAAGAGUGUUUGUAGUGGAGUUUAGUUGUCCAGAGGGUAAAACUGCCACACAAAUGAGCCUCUUGAAUAGGUUAACAAGUCACUUGUAAUUCAUUUCAUUCUUAGAUUCAGUCUGCAGUCUGCAUGCAGUAAUUUCCAGCUGACAAGACUUUUUUUUAUUGCCAUCUCUUUGUAUUUCAGCUUUUAAUUAUUCCAUAAUGACAGUCUUUGUGAACAACAGUUUUUAAAGCGACAGAUGUAGUGACUUCUGCAUUUUCUGAUAUUAGCAUGCAAAUCAACAUAAAACAUAGCCAGCUUUUUAUAGUCAGCUUUUUUUUUUUUUUUUUUUUUUUUUUUUUGGCAUGUUCUAUAUUGCUUGACACCAGAAUACUUACUGCUUGGAAAGAUGGAGGGAAAAACACUGUGUUUCAUAGCACUAUACAUCAUAAAAGAGCUAUCUGUAAUGACCACAUCAUCAGAUAAUAAUUUUCAAAAUUCCCAUCAUACUUUACCAAACAUGUCCUCAGUUAAACUCCUCCAAACCUGUUUAUUUGAAUUGAAAACAGAGGCUCACUGAGUUAAAUUGCAAGAAGCUUUCUCACCGAGUCACAGAAGAUGACAAAAUAAAGCAACCGAAACCUUAAGUGUAACACAAGAUGCUGAUCCUCCAGCUGACUGCCUAAGCUGCCUAUGGGACUCAUCUGGAAUACUAUUUUCAAGAGUAUUGUCAAGCUAAAUAUGCUACAACAAGAUCCAGUAUUGUCUCAGCCCUCUCCAGAUAUGCAAGGAGUUGUCUGCAAUUCAGUCCAUUUAUCUUCCAACACUGGCUCUUCUGCUGCAGUUUUUUACCUCUGUGCUCCAUUAAGAGUCUAUUAUGUGACAUUUAUCUACUCUUAUAUUCUUCAUUCUCCAAUUUUCUGAAAACUGCCAGAAUAUUCCCUGUUCUAUAAGAAAUCCAAGUGGCAUGAUUUAGAUGGGAGAUCUGCAAAAUGAAUGCAGCAUUGUUCUGUUCAUUGACAGAGUUGAUCAUUGAGCACUGUUCUACACCUUACCUGUUUCUCUGUUAGAAACCUAGAAUACUUGCUGUUGUUAGGUUUGGGACUCCCAGUUUCUUAGAUCUCCCCUUGCCCAACGGCAUUGCCAGGAGGAUGUGUUUGUUUUCUCCAGAUUCUCAAUGAAAAUUGUAACCACUGGGAUCAGUCAGAUUUGUGAUCAGUUUUGAUAAAUCCUGCUAUAAGAUACUGAUAUCAGAUUGAUAUAUCAGUUUCAGCAAACAGUUUUGCCAUUUUAAAUCUCAUGUUUUCAAAGUUUUUGUGGAGACCAAAACAAAUCGUUUCAUGAUUUAUAUGUCGCAGACACAUUUUCAUGCCAGUUUUUCCUCACUGUGUAGUUGUCGUUUCUCAGAUGAAUUUAACUUAACCCCUUGUACUCCUUCUUUGCUUGCACUGGUACUCUUCACCCUGCAUAAUCCAUAUUAAAUUUAGCAGCCAUUGUGCUCUGAAUUUCUGUUCUAAUACAGUUACCAAUGAUUUUAAGCUCCCUAGGCUUUUUUUUUCUUCUUUUUUUUUCUUUCUUUUUUUUUUUUUUAAUAUAUGCAGGACUGUAGGACAUGAUAUUAGAAGUUUUCAGACCUUGGCUCCUUGUCUUAUCUGCCUUUUAGCAGUAAAAUGUGUAAACCAUAUUAGAUUUAGAGAUCCAUCACACAUGCUGACAUAAGGAGAUGCUUAUGUUUCCUGUUCAUCACAAGCACUCCCAUAAAAUGAAUUAUAUUUUCAGCAAAGUAUAUAUUUCUGGCUGUUUUGAAUGGAAAUGAAAUUAUUUGAUUUAUGAGUCCAUGAAUAAUGUGACAUUACUGGUUUUUGUGCUGAUUAACUUUUUAUUUUGAAAUAUUAAGCCCCUUGCCUUAUUCUAUAUAUCUUCA
rnacentral:lncRNA from 1 species